GCCGGGUGUGGUGGCGCACACCUGUAAUCCCAGCUACUUGGGAGGCUGAGGCAGGAGAAUUGCUUGAACCCAGGAGGCGGAGGUUGCAGUGAGCUGAUACCAUGCCACUGUACUCCAGCCUGGGUGACAGAGUAAGACUCUGUCUCAA
ensembl:misc_RNA Metazoa_SRP Metazoan signal recognition particle RNA